rnacentral:rRNA from 1 species
GAUCCUGGCUCAGGACGAACGCUGGCGGCGCGCCUAACACAUGCAAGUCGAACGAGCGAGAGAGAGCUUGCUUUCUUGAGCGAGUGGCGAACGGGUGAGUAACGCGUGAGGAACCUGCCCUGGAGUGGGGGACAACAGUUGGAAACGACUGCUAAUACCGCAUAAGCCCACGGCCCGGCAUCGGGCUGCGGGAAAAGGAUUUAUUCGCUUCAGGAUGGACUCGCGUCCAAUUAGCUAGUUGGUG